CCGGCUGGCGGCGGCUCCUCAGUCGGCGGCGGCGGCGGCGGCUGCCUGUGGCCCGCGCGGCUGGGAGAAGCGCGAGUGUCGGUAACUCAAUGACCAUGGAAUCAGGAGCCGAGAACCAGCAGAGUGGAGAUGCAGCUGUAACAGAAGCGGAGAGCCAGCAAAUGACUGUUCAAGCCCAGCCACAGAUCGCCACACUAGCCCAGGUAUCCAUGCCAGCUGCUCAUGCAACGUCAUCUGCGCCCACGGUAACCUUAGUACAGUUGCCCAACGGGCAAACCGUUCAAGUGCAUGGCGUCAUCCAGGCGGCCCAACCCUCCGUGAUCCAGUCUCCCCAGGUCCAGACAGUGCAGAUUUCAACUAUUGCAGAAAGUGAAGAUUCACAAGAGUCGGUGGAUAGCGUAACAGAUUCCCAGAAAAGAAGAGAAAUUCUCUCAAGAAGGCCUUCCUACAGAAAAAUUUUGAAUGAUCUCUCUUCUGAUGCACCCGGGGUUCCGCGGAUUGAGGAAGAGAAGUCGGAAGAGGAGGCGUCAGCCCCUGCCAUCACCACAGUGACGGUGCCAACGCCCAUCUACCAGACGAGCAGCGGACAGUAUAUCGCCAUUACCCAAGGAGGGGCAAUCCAGCUGGCCAACAAUGGCACGGACGGGGUACAAGGCCUGCAGACGCUGACCAUGACCAAUGCCGCUGCCACCCAGCCAGGUACCACGAUCCUUCAGUAUGCACAGACCACGGACGGGCAGCAGAUCCUGGUACCCAGCAAUCAAGUUGUCGUUCAAGCCGCUUCCGGGGAUGUCCAGACGUAUCAGAUCCGAACAGCGCCCACCAGCACCAUCGCCCCUGGGGUGGUGAUGGCGUCGUCCCCAGCACUUCCAACACAGCCUGCCGAGGAGGCAGCUCGAAAGAGGGAGGUUCGCCUGAUGAAGAACAGAGAAGCAGCCAGAGAAUGCCGAAGAAAGAAGAAAGAGUAUGUGAAAUGUUUAGAAAACAGAGUGGCAGUGCUGGAAAACCAAAACAAGACACUGAUCGAGGAGCUCAAAGCACUUAAGGACCUUUACUGCCACAAAUCAGAUUAAUUUGGAAUUUCAAUUCACUUCACCUGCUUUGGUGGAAAAAAGGACCGGCUUGGCCACAAACAGAAAGACAAAAUAGACAUCUUAUUUUCUAAAACAUUUCUUUUUUUCUAUGCGCAAAACUGCCUGGAAGCUACUACAGAAUUUCAUUCAUUUGUGCUUUUGCAUUAAACUGUGAAUGUUACAGAACCGGCCUCUUCUCCCCUCAAGAAAUCUCCAACGCCAGGAAUCAUGAAGAGAGACUUCUGCUUGCCUGCCCCCCCACCUCCCCCAGAAGCGAUUAUUUUGUUUACCCAGAAAUCGCUGGGAGACACAAGAAAAGGAACCCCUUUUUUUUAUUUUUUAAAGUGAGUCAAGGGUUGUGCUGAGCUCCUUGAUUGCCUUAGGGACAGAAUUGCCCCAGCCUCGAGCUGCAGUCAUGUGUGUGCCGCACACUGCAAGAUGAACAGAGUUUAUGAAGGAGCUUCAUUCUAAGAAUUGAGUGAUGUAGUCUUAUAUUUGGACAAUUCACCAGUCUCAAGAAGGCUUUCAAACGACUGUAAAGUUUGAUGUUUAUCCUGCUGAGCUAAUAAGGAAAGUUAUAGAGCGUAAAAAUUAUUUGUAUACCAGUCUAUAUAGAUACAUCAUUUUUCAAAACUGGUUUUAUAGAAACCAUGCAGAAUCACAAAUCUUUUCAAUAAGUCAAAAUGUCACUGUUGAACAUUUUGAAUGUUGUCAGCUUUUAUAAGUGAAAAUCACCUGAUAUUUAGUAAAUUCUGUGUCUAAACUUCAACAUUUCAAGUUCAGAAAUUAUAUUCAAUUAGGAAAUCAGUGGUCCUCUUUGUUCAUAAGUCUCAAGGCAAUCCUGUUGGGUUUGUAAGUUUUAAAGAACUUAGAUAUGUUCUCUAAGUUACGGAAGGUUAUUGUGAGGAUGAUUUCACUGGUUUGAAGUCAGUUACUUAGUGGUGAGAUAAGAAAUGUAUUCUGUGGCUAAAUCUGCUUUAGACCAGAAGACUUGAAGAUUUUGGUUUAUACAGAUAGAAAUUAAGCAUCUUUUAUGCAGAAUUUUUUAUGAGAAUUGGGAAAAGGUGUUUGUUUUUACGCAUGCAAUUUUGCGAAUCUUUAUUAAGAAAAUAACAUAAUAAAAAAAAUCUUGUAGCCAAGACCAUGUGGCCAUGUUACCUGUAAAAAUGUUUUUCUCUAUUGGCCAAAGGAAAUGAAAAAUGUCGUCAUAGGAAUCUGUACAUAUGCUACUGAUUUGCCUAGAAAAAAAUAGCAUUUUUGGCUUUGCUCACUUUGCAAAUAUAGGGCCAUGUGGUACUUUUAUCUAUAGGACAGAUUAACUAAUAAAAAAGAAUGAAGUGGGAGGGGUUUAUUUUUGAUAUAUUACUAUUAUGAGUUUUUAAACUUUGAUAGUGUUCAAAAGUGAUUUAGAAAGGGCUAGAGUCAAUGUGUUCGCAUUAUUCCAAAAAAUAU